UACUUAUCUUCUCUAUGGUUGGCCACUGGUAGUUCCAAUGCGCACGCAGAAACGUCAGCGUCAGUCAUUUCGGCGCAGGUCUCCGCCAUCUUGUCAAAGAACUUUGUUCAGCGUUCCGUGGAUAAAUGGUGUAUAACAGUGGAAAAUCCUCCCUCCCCAUGUGGAAACUCAUCUUCAUCGCUGGUCGGAAACGUGCCAUGUUUCAUUCCUCCGGUUACCCAGGAAUCGUGGGAGCUGCAACAGGUAGAAAGCCUCCAACAGCUCGACGCGGGGGCUCAAUGGGCUGGUGUGACCCGGCCGUACGGACGUUGAGACUCUCGGAUCCGGUAUGAGACUUGCAGGUGGCAUCGGCUUCUUGGACAGGCACAGUGGGCUAAUUCUCUACUGGUUCUACCUGCUGAUUCUUGGUGACAGAUUGUCCGGAUGCACUAGUGGUAUCACACUGUACGGCAGCCUCUCUAUGACGGUGAUGAGAAUGACAAGGACAGUUUCUAGUCAGUGUACCUAGCAGUUAUUCAGAUCAACAGGUCAUAGACGACAGGUGAAACAACUUUAACAACGGUAAACGGUCCGGAAAACUUCGGAGCCA